GACGAACGCUGGCGGCGUGCUUAACACAUGCAAGUCGUACGGUAAGGCCCUUUCGGGGGUACACGAGUGGCGAACGGGUGAGUAACACGUGAGUAACCUGCCCACAACUUUGGGAUAACGCUAGGAAACUGGUGCUAAUACUGGAUAUGUGCUCCUGCUGCAUGGUGGGGGUUGGAAAGCUCCGGCGGUUGUGGAUGGACUCGCGGCCUAUCAGCUUGUUGGUGGGGUAGUGGCCUACCAAGGCGGCGACGGGUAGCCGGCCUGAGAGGGUGACCGGCCACAUUGGGACUGAGAUACGGCCCAGACUCCUACGGGAGGCAGCAGUGGGGAAGAUUGCACAAUGGGCGCAAGCCUGAUGCAGCACCGCCGCGUGCGGGAGAACGGCCUUCGGGUUGUAAACCGCUUUCAGCAGGGACGAAGCUUUUUGUGACGGUACCUGCAGAAGAAGCACCGGCUAACUACGUG
rnacentral:rRNA from 1 species